AUUACAACAGUUCCAGGUGAAGACAAUGUUGGCAAAAGUCUUCCAACCCCUCCAACUUUCUGACCUGCAGAAUGAAAGCAUUCUGUCUCUGGGCUCCUAAGAUCAGAAAUGUUGGAGGAGCUUCAAUGAGUGAGAAACUGUGAGUUACCUGCAAAAGAUAAAAGCAAAACAGAAUGCAUUGAUGAAGAUAAUUCAAUCAGCAUGCACAGCAUAGAAUUGUUAUAGAUUGGGUAACUUCAUCAAGACUUCUCCAUGACUGAAGGUGGUAGAUUCUCAAGGAUUGGUUACUUGCACUACAGCAAAUUUACAACCAGCAAAAUAGACUAGAAACAAGCUACUUGUUGAUGAAGAUCAUUGUCUGUUAAGACUCCAUCGCAGAGAAGUUAAAGAGCUUCAAUCACCAUGCUUUCAGGGUCAAUUUGUCUCCGAAAAGGAACAGAUGGGGAAGAAUUAUUCCAUUCACAGUUGACUUGUCAGAAAUUCUAAGAUCUUGGACUGGCUGAAAGCAAUGAUGUUGCCAUUCAUCCUUUCACGUAUUCAUUAUGGUCUACAGCUGAGAAGGGCUAUUUGGGGUUUGCUUUGCCUGAUGGUAGCAGAAGAAAACCAAGAGGCCUCUCUACGAAAGCUUGCAGUAAG
rnacentral:lncRNA from 1 species